rnacentral:snRNA from 1 species
UUUGUCUCUUGACCCUUU